UACGGGGGGGGUAAGCGUUGUUCGGAAUUACUGGGCGUAAAGGGCUCGUAGGCGGCCAACUAAGUCGGACGUGAAAUCCCUCAGCUUAACUGGGGAACUGCGUCCGAUACUGGAUGGCUUGGAUUUGGGAGAGGGAUGCGGAAUUCCAGGUGUAGCGGUGAAAUGCGCAGAUAUCGGGAGGAACACCAAUGGCGAAGGCAGCUCGCUGGGACGUGACUGACGCUGAGACGGCGAAAAGCGUGGGGAGCAACAGGG
rnacentral:rRNA from 1 species